GACGAACCGUGCGAACGUUAUUCGGAAUCACUGGGCUUAAAGCGCGUGUAGGCGGGCCGCCGCGUCGGCUGCUGAAAUCCCCCGGCUCACCCGGGGAAGGGGCACCGAUACGGGCGGCCUGGAGGGGGGUAGGGGGGUCUGGAACUUCCGGUGGAGCGGUGAAAUGCGUUGAGAUCGGAAGGAACGCCCGUGGCGAAAGCGAGGCCCUGGACCCUUACUGACGCUGAGACGCGAAAGCCAGGGGAGCGAACGGG
rnacentral:rRNA from 1 species